rnacentral:rRNA from 1 species
UAAGUGACUAAGCGUACACGGUGGAUGCCUUGGCAGUCAGAGGCGAUGAAAGACGUAGUAACUUGCGAUAAGCCCAGAUUAGGUAGUAACAACCAUUUGAGUCUGGGAUUUCUGAAUGGGGAAACCCACUUACAUAAGUAAGUAUCAUUAAUUGAAUACAUAGGUUAAUGAGGCGAACCGGGGGAACUGAAACAUCUAAGUACCCCGAGGAAAAGAAAUCAACCGAGAUUCCGAAAGUAGCGGCGAGCGAAAUUGGACUAGCCCUUAAGCUUUACACGCGUUAGACGAACGGUCUGGAAAGUCCGACGAUACAGGGUGAUAGUCCCGUAGUUGACGACGUGUGUUCAGUGAAAUCGAGUAGGGCGGGACACGUGAUAUCCUGUCUGAAUAUGGGGGGACCAUCCUCCAAGGCUAAAUACUACUGACUGACCGAUAGUGAACCAGUACCGUGAGGGAAAGGCGAAAAGAACCCCUGUGAGGGGAGUGAAAUAGAACCUGAAACCGUGUACGUACAAGCAGUAGGAGCAGGCUUUGUCCUGUGACUGCGUACCUUUUGUAUAAUGGGUCAGCGACUUAUAUUCAGUGGCAAGGUUAACCAUCUAGGGGAGCCGUAGGGAAACCGAGUCUUAACUGGGCGUUCAGUCUCUGGAUAUAGACCCGAAACCAGGUGAUCUAGCCAUGGGCAGGUUGAAGGUUGAGUAACAUCAACUGGAGGACCGAACCGACUAAUGUUGAAAAAUUAGCGGAUGACUUGUGGCUAGGGGUGAAAGGCCAAUCAAACCUGGAGAUAGCUGGUUCUCCCCGAAAGCUAUUUAGGUAGCGCCUCGGACGAAUACUACUGGGGGUAGAGCACUGUUAAGGCUAGGGGGUCAUCCCGACUUACCAACCCUUUGCAAACUCCGAAUACCAGUAAGUACUAUCCGGGAGACACACGGCGGGUGCUAACGUCCGUCGUGGAGAGGGAAACAACCCAGACCGCCAGCUAAGGUCCCAAAUUACUACUAAGUGGGAAACGAUGUGGGAAGGCUCAGACAGCCAGGAUGUUGGCUUAGAAGCAGCCAUCAUUUAAAGAAAGCGUAAUAGCUCACUGGUCGAGUCGGCCUGCGCGGAAGAUGUAACGGGGCUAAGUAGUAAACCGAAGCUGCGGCAAUGUGCUUUUGCACAUUGGGUAGGGGAGCGUUCUGUAAGCGGUUGAAGGUGUGUGGUAACGCAUGCUGGACGUAUCAGAAGUGCGAAUGCUGACAUGAGUAACGAUAAAGGGGGUGAAAAACCUCCUCGCCGGAAGACCAAGGGUUCCUGUCCAACGUUAAUCGGGGCAGGGUAAGUCGACCCCUAAGGCGAGGCCGAAAGGCGUAGUCGAUGGGAAACGGGUUAAUAUUCCCGUACUUCUUACAAUUGCGAUGGGGGGGACGGAGAAGGCUAGGUGGGCCUGGCGACGGUUGUCCAGGUUCAAGUGCGUAGGCUUAAGAGUUAGGUAAAUCCGGCUCUUUUUAAGGCUGAGACACGACGUCGAGCACCUACGGGUGUGAAGUCAUUGAUGCCAUGCUUCCAGGAAAAGCCUCUAAGCUUCAGAUUGUAAGGAAUCGUACCCCAAACCGACACAGGUGGUCGGGUAGAGAAUACCAAGGCGCUUGAGAGAACUCGGGUGAAGGAACUAGGCAAAAUGGUACCGUAACUUCGGGAGAAGGUACGCUCUCGACGGUGAAGUCCCUCGCGGAUGGAGCUAUUGAGAGUCGCAGAUACCAGGUGGCUGCAACUGUUUAUUAAAAACACAGCACUGUGCAAAAUCGUAAGAUGACGUAUACGGUGUGACGCCUGCCCGGUGCCGGAAGGUUAAUUGAUGGGGUUAGACUUCGGUCGAAGCUCUUGAUCGAAGCCCCGGUAAACGGGCGGCCGUAACUAUAACGGUCCUAAGGUAGCGAAAUUCCUUGUCGGGUAAGUUCCGACCUGCACGAAUGGCGUAAUGAUGGCCACGCUGUCUCCACCCGAGACUCAGUGAAAUUGAAAUCGCUGUGAAGAUGCAGUGUACCCGCGGCUAGACGGAAAGACCCCGUGAACCUUUACUACAGCUUGGCACUGAACAUUGACCCUACAUGUGUAGGAUAGGUGGGAGGCUUUGAAGCACGUACGCCAGUAUGUGUGGAGCCGUCCUUGAAAUACCACCCUUGUAGUGUUGAUGUUCUAACGUUGACCCCUUAUCGGGGUUGCGGACAGUGCCUGGUGGGUAGUUUGACUGGGGCGGUCUCCUCCCAAAGAGUAACGGAGGAGCACGAAGGUGGGCUAAUCACGGUUGGACAUCGUGAGGUUAGUGCAAUGGCAUAAGCCCGCUUGACUGCGAGAAUGACAAUUCGAGCAGGUGCGAAAGCAGGUCAUAGUGAUCCGGUGGUUCUGAAUGGAAGGGCCAUCGCUCAACGGAUAAAAGGUACUCCGGGGAUAACAGGCUGAUACCGCCAAGAGUUUCAUAUCGACGGCGGUGUUUGGCACCUCGAUGUCGGCUCAUCACAUCCUGGGGCUGAAGUCGGUCCCCAAAAGGGUAUGGCUGUUCGCCAUUUAAAGUGGUACGCGAGCUGGGUUUAGAACGUCGUGAGAAGUUCGGUUCCUAUCGCCGUGGGCG